rnacentral:lncRNA from 1 species
CUGUUUCGAAUAAAACAGGAAUUGUGAUAUAAAUUUAAAAAAUCCACAAAAAUACGUAAAAGAACAAAUUGAUCAUGAAUAUGAUCAGCAUUUGUUAACCAUCACUUAACCCAUUAUUCGCCUUACACGCACGAUUGCGAUUGUCGCAACAACACAAUCCGUUUUUCUCUGCCGUAUUAUUUAUGUAACACGCUACACGCAGCACUGUGUCUCAACCCCUAUGGACAAAAAAUGAAACAGAGAACAAUCAAAUGAAGCGAAAUGAAUAGAAAAUUAUGGUACCUUUCUGUCUGUCUCUGUCGCCGGCGGGUGACCGGAGAAAGGGAGAACAACAACAACGCCUUAUCCCACUAGGUGGGGUCGGCUACAUGGAUCAACUUCCGCCAUAAUGUUCUAUCAAGUACCAUACUUCUAUCCAAACCAUUAAUUUCGAGAUCCUUUUUUAUAACCUCUCUGUCUUUUUGGGUCUUCCUCUGCCUCGAAUUGUUUGUCUUCUGGUCUACUCUCCUCACUACAUAGUCAACAUCCUCAUCUCCGCUACACCUACUUUAUUCUCAUGUUGGCUCUUGACCGCCCAACAUGUAAACAAGUUUUUAAUUUUCUAAUUUUCUUUGUUUUUAAUUUUAA